rnacentral:rRNA from 1 species
GACGUAGGAGGCGAGCGUUAUCCGGAAUUCACUGGGCGUAAAGCGCAUGUAGGCGGCUGUGUCAGUCGUGUGUUAAAGCCCCCGGCUCAACUGGGGGGAGGUCAUGCGAGACUAUACGGCUUGAGGGCAGCAGAGGAACGUGGAACUCCCGGUGUAGCGGUGGAAUGCGUAGAGAUCGGGAAGAACACCAGUGGCGAAGGCGGCGUUCUGGGCUGCAACUGACGCUGAGAUGCGAAAGUGUGGGGAGCAAACGGG